UUAGUGGAUUGUGACAAAGCUUUCGAUGUGUUCAUCCAGGACGGUGUUUGUCCUGGAUGUGUCCGUUUUAAAACAAUUCAAGUACAUGACUACCUUCGAGCGGGCACAUGAUGAAGUUCGUUUUUGCAAGAAAACGCUGCUUAUAGAUUCGUCCUUGGGAUCAAACCAAACCUCUUAAGAACUUAGAGACCCAUGACGACCCACGUUGACUUUGCACGAUCAGAGGUCAAUCCGGCCACAUCUUGCAAGUACUGUCGUCUCUUCCGCACUAAUCCAAUCCACAGGAACGUCUCAUCAUCGUUGGUAAGCAGGGCACGUUUGAAACCCGCUUCUGUUCAGUGAGCAGGGCCGCAUGUUCGUGGCAAGACUGAAGAAACCUUACCUUGGCAGAGCAAGCACUUAUAAUAUUCCUCCAUUCGUGUCAAGGAGACAGUAAAAAAGGAAAGCAGCGACCCACAAUAAGCAAAGGCAAUGGAACGAUAACAAACCGUGCUGCCUUCCAUUAAGGUAGCCAAACAUUUCUGAUGGAUAAGCAGGUUCAAGCUGCUCUCUUAAGAGGAUCCUCUUAUCCUGCAAGUUAAGGGCCAGCUGUUUCGCCUUGGAGAAACUAAAAAAACACUGGCGGCCAACCAGCGAAAGGAUACCCGCUUCAGCUAUCGCUUCGGUUGUCGAAUGCAAACCGCACUGCAGAAAUAUCGCUCAAAUUAGACAAUCGCCUGCUUCGCCUGUUUAUUGGGUGCCCAAAAUCUACUCUUCUCGUAGUCGUUGAGAUUGCCGUCGAGAGUUACGACGAGCAGAUGUUGUUCUAUUUGAGGCCUGUGCGGCUAACUCGCACUAUGGCUUUGGAUUGCUAAUAACCCAAGUGGUAUAUGGCGAGUGUACCAAAAAACGGGUAAGGCCAAGCCAUCCCGAAAAGCUGUAAGGCCUUAGAAUCGAUCAAGUAGGCCAUGGUCUGCCCAACUGCCAAUGCCAUUUCCGUUAUCUUGGCGAUCUACACCGAAGAAAAAAGGUGAAUGAAGUAAACGUCAACGAUGGCUUUAUCUUUGCGACGCUAAUUAGACAAGUCGUGGCUUUAAGAAAAAAGUAUCGCUUGCUCCCGAAUUGAUCUGCCCCCCCCCGCUCUGCAGUUAAUCUACGUAUUCUGAUGCAUUUGAACUAGCUUUUCCUAUAAUUAGUCGCAGUAAAAUAGGCAUUCAAGUAAAGGUUUAGCGAUAAUGAUGUUUCGGAAGUACAAAACUUCAGGCACUAUUGGACCGAAGUAAACGGGAAUUUAUCGACUAGAGACUAUGCACAUAACUUCAACUCGCCUGCGCAUCACGGAAAGGAUCGAGAACAUAGAAUUGUUAUUGGGUAUAAAUCUAAACACUGAUAUGAUACUAUA